rnacentral:rRNA from 1 species
AGUGAACGCUGGCGGUAGGCCUAACACAUGCAAGUCGAACGGCAGCACAGUAAGAGCUUGCUCUUACGGGUGGCGAGUGGCGGACGGGUGAGGAAUACAUCGGAAUCUACUUUUUCGUGGGGGAUAAUGUAGGGAAACUUACGCUAAUACCGCAUACGACCUACGGGUGAAGGCAGGGGAUCUUCGGCCCUGGCGCGAUUGAAUGAGCCGAUGUCGGAUUAGCUAGUUGGCGGGGUAAAGGCCCACCAAGGCGACGAUCCGUAGCUGGUCUGAGAGGAUGAUCAGCCACACUGGAACUGAGACACGGUCCAGACUCCUACGGGAGGCCGCAGUGGGGAAUAUUGGACAAUGGGCGCAAGCCUGAUCCAGCCAUACCGCGUGGGUGAAGAAGGCCUUCGGGUUGUAAAGCCCUUUUGUUGGGAAAGAAAAGCAGCAGGUUAAUACCCCGCUGUUCUGACGGUACCCAAAGAAUAAGCACCGGCUAACUUCGUG